rnacentral:misc_RNA from 1 species
AAAAUGCGAUAAGUAAUGUGAAUUGCAGAAUUCAGUGAAUCAUCGAAUCUUUGAACGCACAUUGCGCCCGCCAGUAUCCUGGCGGGCAUGCCUGUUCGAGCGUCAUUUCAACCCUCAAGCCCCCGGGUUUGGUGUUGGGGAUCGGGCUGCGGUUCUACCGCGUCCCGGCCCCGAAAUCUAGUGGCGGUCUCGCUGCAGCCUCCAUUGCGUAGUAGCUAACACCUCGCAACUGGAACGCGGCGCGGCCAAGCCGUUAAACCCCCAACUUCUGAAUGUUGACCUCGGAUCAGGUAGGAAUACCCGCUGAACUUAAGC